rnacentral:rRNA from 2 species
GCAUAAUCAUUUGCCUUUUAAUUAAAGGCUAGUAUGAAAGGAUUUACGUAAUUCUCCCUAUAUUAAUUUUAUUUUUUAAAACCUAAAUCUCAGGUGAAGAUGCCUGAAUUUAUUUGAAAGACAAGAAGACCCUAUAGAGUUUUAGUACUUUUCCUCUUUACCACCACUUUAAUUGGGGCGAUUAAGGAUUUAUAAUUUACAUCCUAAAAUUUUAAAGAAUUUAUAUUUCUUCAUAUUAAUCCUUCAUAAAAGAAUUUAAAAUAAACUACCUUAGGGAUAACAGGCUUAUCUUCCUAAAGAGUCCAAAUUAACAGGAAGGUUUGGCACCUCGAUGUUGGCUUAGAGUAACCUUAUAAAGCAAAAAUUAUAUAGGUUAGUUUGUUCAACUAAUAAUUCUCU